UCAGGACGAACGCUGGCGGCGUGCCUAAUACAUGCAAGUCGAGCGCGUGAAUCAACAUGAUCCCUUCGGGGUGAUUGUUGUGGAUCGAGCGGCGGACGGGUGAGUAACACGUGGGCAACCUACCCAUGAGAUCGGGAUAACUCCGGGAAACCGGAGCUAAUACCGAAUAAUCCAGUGAACUGCAUGGUUCAUUGGUAAAAGGCGGUUUCGGCCGUCACUCAUGGAUGGGCCCGCGGCGCAUUAGCUAGUUGGUAAGGUAACGGCUUACCAAGGCGACGAUGCGUAGCCGACCUGAGAGGGUGAUCGGCCACACUGGGACUGAGACACGGCCCAGACUCCUACGGGAGGCAGCAGUAGGGAAUCUUCCGCAAUGGACGAAAGUCUGACGGAGCAACGCCGCGUGAACGAUGAAGGUCUUCGGAUCGUAAAGUUCUGUUGUUAGGGAAGAACAAGUGCCAGAGGAAAUGCUGGUACCUUGACGGUACCUAACCAGAAAGCCACGGCUAACUACGUGCCAGCAGCCGCGGUAAUACGUAGGUGGCAAGCGUUGUCCGGAAUUAUUGGGCGUAAAGCGCGCGCAGGCGGUUUCUUAAGUCUGAUGUGAAAGCCCACAGCUCAACUGUGGAGGGCCAUUGGAAACUGGGGAACUUGAGUACAGAAGAGGAGAGUGGAAUUCCACGUGUAGCGGUGAAAUGCGUAGAUAUGUGGAGGAACACCAGUGGCGAAGGCGACUCUCUGGUCUGUAACUGACGCUGAGGCGCGAAAGCGUGGGUAGCAAACAGGAUUAGAUACCCUGGUAGUCCACGCCGUAACGUUGAGUGCUAGG
rnacentral:rRNA from 1 species